rnacentral:rRNA from 1 species
UACGGGGGGGGCAAGCGUUGUUCGGAAUUACUGGGCGUAAAGGGCUCGUAGGCGGCCAACUAAGUCGGAUGUGAAAUCCCCAGGCUUAACCUGGGAACUGCAUCCGAUACUGGAUGGCUUGAAUCCGGGAGAGGGAUGCAGAAUUCCAGGUGUAGCGGUGAAAUGCGUAGAUAUCUGGAGGAAUACCGGUGGCGAAGGCGGCAUCCUGGACCGGCAUUGACGCUGAGGAGCGAAAGCUAGGGGGAGCAAACGGG